GAUGAAGAACGCAGCGAAAUGCGAUAAGUAAUGUGAAUUGCAGAAUUCAGUGAAUCAUCGAAUCUUUGAACGCACAUUGCGCCCGCCAGUAUUCUGGCGGGCAUGCCUGUUCGAGCGUCAUUUCAACCCUCAGGCCCCCAGUGCCUGGUGUUGGGGAUCGGCCCAGCCUUCCUGUAAGGCCGCCGGCCCCGAAAUCUAGUGGCGGUCUCGCUGUAGCUUCCUCUGCGUAGUAGCACACCUCGCACUGGGAAACAGCGCGGCCACGCCGUUAAACCCCCAACUUCUGAACGUUUGACCUCGGAUCAGGUAGGAAUACCCGCUGAACUUAAGCAUAUCAAUAAGCGGAGGA
rnacentral:misc_RNA from 1 species